rnacentral:lncRNA from 1 species
UUCAGUGUGGUCCCUGUCACAGUGGCAUGCCUGAUCAUUAGAGAGUCUCCAGCUGGUUUCCCCAAAAACGGAAGGAGGCUGAGGAUGCUGCCUUAACUAAGAACAGGCGGUUGAGAACUCUACCCAUGUUAUAACCAAAGUUUCUGUUGCUUACAAAAGGAAUUCUCUCUACUUUAGUGCAUACCAGAGUUUUGAGCACUAUCAACAUUUCUCUCCUGACUGGAAACAUAUGAUGAAGAAAAGUGUGAUGGAAAAACUCAUUUGCCAAAAAAGACUCCUCCUCAAUUAAAUCAAAUUUCUAUAUCUCUCACCCUAACCUUUAGCAUGAAGAAAAUUCAUGACUGAGGGUUGUCGAUCUCAGGGACUGAGAAAAAAUGAAGCCCUCAGCAAUUUCUGGAGUUCCUUAAGUUGAUAACUUCUUGUUGUGUGUUUGGUAAGUGUUGGUUGAACCUUCCUUCCCAAGAAAUAGCAGGGAGGGAGGGCAAAAGAGGAUUAAUGAACCUGGAAAUCCUGUG